CCCUUUAGAUGUUCUGGGCUGCACGCGCGCUACACUGAUACGAACAACGAGUACUGAAGACCUGGUCCGAAAGGAUUGGGUAAACUUUUGAAAUCGUAUCGUGCUGGGGAUCGAUAAUUGCAAUUAUUUAUCGUGAACGAGGAAUUCCUAGUAAGCGCAAGUCAACAGCUUGCGCUGAUUACGUCCCUGCCCUUUGUACACACCGCCCGUCGCUCCUACCGAUGUUUGGUCCGGUGAAAUCUUAGGAUUCGUGGCAUACACUUGUUUUGUUGCUUUUGUGAUGAGAUGAGUUUGCUGUGGAGAAUUUGAGUAAACCUUGCCAAAUAGAGGAAGGAGAANUCGUAACA
rnacentral:rRNA from 1 species